CUCUCUGCCCAACUCUCCAGUCUGUCCAGGUCUUGUUGGAUGGCAGCACAGCCUUUCAACAAGAAGUGGACAGACUGGAGCGUUGCUUCAAGACUGACAAGAAA
ensembl:miRNA gga-mir-6552 gga-mir-6552